rnacentral:rRNA from 1 species
AAGAGGUUUGGAAAGACCCACCACAGAAGGUAAUAGUCCUGUAUGUUAAACGAGAAGACUUUAGAUAUGAUCCAGAGUACCACGGGACACGUGAAACCCUGUGGGAAGCAGGAGGGACCACCCUCCAAGGCUAAAUACUACCUAGUGACCGAUAGCGUAUAGUACCGUGAGGGAAAGGUGAAAAGAACCCCGGGAGGGGAGUGAAAUAGAACCUGAAACCCUGCACUUACAAGCUGUGGAAGCACAUUUCUUGUGUGACCGCGUACUUUUUGUAGAACGGGCCAACGAGUUACGUUAAGUAGCAAGGUUAAGCACUUAAGGUGUGGAGCCGUAGCGAAAGCGAGUUUUAACUGAGCGUUCAGUUACUUGACGUAGACCCGAAACCGGGCGACCUACCCAUGAGCAGGAUGAAGCGAAAGUAAAAUUUCGUGGAGGUCCGAACCCACGAGCGUUGAAAAGCUCGGGGAUGACUUGUGGGUAGCGGUGAAAUUCCAAUCGAGCCCGGAGAUAGCUGGUUCUCCCCGAAAUAGCUUUAGGGCUAGCCUCAAGGUGAGAGAUACGGAGGUAGAGCACUGAAUGUCCUAGGGGGUAUUGCACCUACCGAAGACUAUCAAACUCCGAAUGCCGUCAUCUUAUACUUGGGAGUCAGACUGUGGGUGAUAAGAUUCAUAGUCGAAAGGGCAACAGCCCAGAUCGUCAGCUAAGGUCCCUAAAUGUAAGUUAAGUGGUAAAGGAUGUGGGAUUGCACAGACAACCAGGAUGUUGGCUUAGAAGCAGCCACUCAUUCAAAGAGUGCGUAAUAGCUCACUGGUCGAGUGAUCCUGCGCCGAAGAUUUCCGGGGCUAAAACUUACUACCGAAGCUACGGCAUCAGUAAUGAUGGGUAGGGGAGCUUCCCAUACGGGUUGAAGCAUGACCGUAAGGACAUGUGGACAGUAUGGGAGUGAGAAUGUUGGCAUGAGUAGCGAGAUGUGGGUGAGAAUCCCACAGGCCGUAAACCCAAGGUUUCCAGGGGAAGGUUCGUCCGCCCUGGGUUAGUCGGGACCUAAGCUGAGGCCGAAAGGCGUAGGUGAUGGACAACAGGUUGAUAUUCCUGUAC